rnacentral:rRNA from 1 species
UGAUGCAACGCGAAGAACCUUACCUACUCUUGACAUCCACGGAAUUUGGCAGAGAUGCNUUAGUGCCUUCGGGAACCGUGAGACAGGUGCUGCAUGGCUGUCGUCAGCUCGUGUUGUGAAAUGUUGGGUUAAGUCCCGCAACGAGCGCAACCCUUAUCCUUUGUUGCCAGCGAUUCGGUCGGGAACUCAAAGGAGACUGCCGGUGAUAAACCGGAGGAAGGUGGGGAUGACGUCAAGUCAUCAUGGCCCUUACGAGUAGGGCUACACACGUGCUACAAUGGCGCAUACAAAGAGAAGCGACCUCGCGAGAGCAAGCGGACCUCACAAAGUGCGUCGUAUCCGGAUCGGAGUGUGCUAAUCG